UGGGGAAUCUUCCGCAAUGGACGAAAGUCUGACGGAGCAACGCCGCGUGAGUGAUGAAGGUCUUCGGAUUGUAAAACUCUGUUGUCAGGGACGAAUGUGCGAACGUUGAAUAAGCGUUUGUAUUGACGGUACCUGACGAGGAAGCCACGGCUAACUACGUGCCAGCAGCCGCGGUAAUACGUAGGUGGCAAGCGUUGUCCGGAAUUAUUGGGCGUAAAGAGCAUGUAGGCGGGCUUUUAAGUCCGACGUGAAAAUGCGGGGCUUAACCCCGUAUGGCGUUGGAUACUGGAAGUCUUGAGUGCAGGAGAGGAAAGGGGAAUUCCCAGUGUAGCGGUGAAAUGCGUAGAUAUUGGGAGGAACACCAGUGGCGAAGGCGCCUUUCUGGACUGUGUCUGACGCU
rnacentral:rRNA from 1 species